UGCCCUAGUAACGGCGAGUGAAGCGGCAACAGCUCAAAUUUGAAAGCUGGCUCCGGCCCGCAUUGUAAUUUGCAGAGGAUGCUUUUGGCGAGGUGCCUUCCGAGUUCCCUGGAACGGGACGCCAUAGAGGGUGAGAGCCCCGUAUGGAUGGACACCAAACCUGUGUAAAGCUCCUUCAACGAGUCGAGUAGUUUGGGAAUGCUGCUCUAAAUGGGAGGUAAAUCUCUUCUAAAGCUAAAUACCGGCCAGAGACCGAUAGCGCACAAGUAGAGUGAUCGAAAGAUGAAAAGCACCUUGAAAAGGGGGUUAAACAGUACGUGAAAUUGUUGAAAGGGAAGCAUUUAUGACCAGACUUGCGCCGGGCAGCUCAUCAGGGGUUCUCCCCUGUGCACUCUGCCCGGCUCAGGCCAGCAUCGGUUCUCGUGGGAGGAUAAGAACAGUGGGAACGUGGCCCCCCUCCGGGGGGGUGUUAUAGCCCAUUGUACGAUACUCUCGUGGGGACCGAGGUUCGCGCUCCGCAAGGAUGCUGGCGUAAUGGUCAUCAAUGACCCGUCUUGAAACACGGACCAAGGAGUCGUCCAUUAGAGCGAGCGUUUGGGUGUAAAACCCGCACGCGUAAUGAAAGUGAACGCAGGUGAGAGCUUCGGCGCAUCAUCGACCGAUCCUGAUGUCUUCGGAUGGAUUUGAGUAAGAGUUUUAACGGACGGACCCGAAAGACAGUGAACUAUGCUUGUAUAGGGUGAAGCCAGAGGAAACUCUGGUGGAGGCUCGCAGCGGUUCUGACGUGCAAAUCGAUCGUCAAAUAUGAGCAUGGGGGCGAAAGACUAAUCGAACUGUCUAGUAGCUGGUUACCGCCGAAGUUUCCCUCAGGAUAGCAGUGUUGUUCUUCAGUUUUAUGAGGUAAAGCGAAUGAUUAGGGACUCGGGGGCGCUUAUUAGCCUUCAUCCAUUCUCAAACUUUAAAUAUGUAAGAAGCCCUUGUUACUUAAUUGAACGUGGGCAUUCGAAUGUACCAACACUAGUGGGCCAUUUUUGGUAAGCAGAACUGGCGAUGCGGGAUGAACCGAACGCGGGGUUAAGGCGCCAGAGUGUACGCUCAUCAGACACCACAAAAGGCGUUAGUACAUCUUGACAGCAGGACGGUGGCCAUGGAAGUCGGAAUCCGCUAAGGACUGUGUAACAACUCACCUGCCGAAUGUACUAGCCCUGAAAAUGGAUGGCGCUCAAGCGUACCGCCCAUACCCCGCCCUCAGGGUAGAAACGAUGCCCUGAGGGAGUAGGCGGCCGUGGGGGUCAGUGACGAAGCC
rnacentral:rRNA from 1 species